CAGCCGCCGCGGUAAUACGAAGGGGGCUAGCGUUGCUCGGAAUUACUGGGCGUAAAGCGCGCGCAGGCGGUCUUCCAAGUCAGUGGUGAAAGCCCGGAGCUCAACUCCGGAACUGCCAUUGAAACUGUUAGACUUGAGGACGAGAGAGGUGAGUGGAAUUCCCAGUGUAGAGGUGAAAUUCGUAGAUAUUGGGAAGAACACCGGUGGCGAAGGCGGCUCACUGGCUCGUUUCUGACGCUCAGGCGCGAUAGCGUGGGGAUCAAACAGGAUUAGAUACCCCCGUAGUCCCUGUCUCUUAUAA
rnacentral:rRNA from 1 species